rnacentral:lncRNA from 1 species
AACAUGAUAUAUUACUUUUCAAAGUCAAAUCAGAAAAAUGUACAUAUUCAGCUUCAUACAUUACACAAGUAAGUAUACUAUCCUGAAAUAAAAGAUUUAAUUUUAGUCCAAAUUUUCUUAAAAAAUCAUCAUCUUUUUAUACCUUUUAACAUGAUUUCAUAAGUGGCGCCAACCCUCGCAAAUAUGAAUUUUGCUUGAAAAGUAAAGAGUAUGCUAUAGAUAAACUAUUUCAGAAAAAAAUAUUUGUGUGCGAAGGGUGAUGGCACUAUUUGUUUGCCAAAAAAAUCAGCCGUUCACAUUUUCGUCUACAUUUAUGCCGUUAGAAAUACAUCACUCAAUACAAGUUGGUGUACUAUCUAUGGUGUACUAUCUGACUUAGGUAUAUUUCCCCUUUUUAUCAGUUUUGUGAACAAAACUUAUUAAAUUAUUCUUUUAAAAGUGAAAAUAUGCAAGAGGCCUAUUUAUUGUUAACA